GGCGGCUCCGACUCACUCUCUCUCUCUUGAAUCUGGAUUCUUCAGACCACAGCCCUGACGGCGACACUGAGAAUGCAGACGAUGGUGGUGGAAUUAAUAACCUGGAUCAGGAGUCCUCUGACAGCAGAUCUUAAUGGGCACCUGAUGGUGAAGACAUUUUACAUUUGAAGAAAAGACGCAUACUAGAGGGAGUCGAGGACUUGGCUGGCCUACAAAAUGUCACUAAGGGAUGCAACUGACAGCUGAAGUAGGAUUUUUUGUUUUUUGGCCAUGACAAUGUUUGACAGUUGAUAAUAAACAGAUAAUUACGAUACCAUGUGUACAUCAUUG